rnacentral:tRNA from 1 species
GGGAUAAUAGUUAAUAUAUAACAUUUGUUUUGCAUACAAAAAGUAUUGAUAGUCAAUUUUUCUCA